GGGUUGUGAGGUUAAGCGACUAAGCGUACACGGUGGAUGCCCUGGCAGUCAGAGGCGAUGAAGGGCGUACUAAUCUGCGAUAAGCGCCGGUAAGGUGAUAUGAACCGUUAUAACCGGCGAUACCCGAAUGGGGAAACCCAGUGUGAUUCGUCACACUAUCAUUAACUGAAUCCAUAGGUUAAUGAGGCGAACCGGGGGAACUGAAACAUCUAAGUACCCCGAGGAAAAGAAAUCAACCGAGAUUCCCCCAGUAGCGGCGAGCGAACGGGGAGGAGCCCAGAGCCUGAAUCAGCAUGUGUGUUAGUGGAAGCGUCUGGAAAGGCGCGCGAUACAGGGUGACAGCCCCGUACACAAAAGCGCAUGUGCUGUGAGCUCGAUGAGUAGGGCGGGACACGUGGUAUCCUGUCUGAAUAUGGGGGGACCAUCCUCCAAGGCUAAAUACUCCUGACUGACCGAUAGUGAACCAGUACCGUGAGGGAAAGGCGAAAAGAACCCCGGCGAGGGGAGUGAAAAAGAACCUGAAACCGUGUACGUACAAGCAGUGGGAGCACAGGUUUACCUGUGUGACUGCGUACCUUUUGUAUAAUGGGUCAGCGACUUAUAUUCUGUAGCAAGGUUAACCGAAUAGGGGAGCCGGAGGGAAACCGAGUCUUAAUUGGGCGUUAAGUUGCAGGGUAUAGACCCGAAACCCGGUGAUCUAGCCAUGGGCAGGUUGAAGGUUGGGUAACACUAACUGGAGGACCGAACCGACUAAUGUUGAAAAAUUAGCGGAUGACCUGUGGCUGGGGGUGAAAGGCCAAUCAAACCGGGAGAUAGCUGGUUCUCCCCGAAAGCUAUUUAGGUAGCGCCUCGUGAAUUCAUCUCCGGGGGUAGAGCACUGUUUCGGCUAGGGGGCCAUCCCGGCUUACCAACCCGAUGCAAACUGCGAAUACCGGAGAAUGUUAUCACGGGAGACACACGGCGGGUGCUAACGUCCGUCGUGAAGAGGGAAACAACCCAGACCGCCAGCUAAGGUCCCAAAGUCAUGGUUAAGUGGGAAACGAUGUGGGAAGGCCCAGACAGCCAGGAUGUUGGCUUAGAAGCAGCCAUCAUUUAAAGAAAGCGUAAUAGCUCACUGGUCGAGUCGGCCUGCGCGGAAGAUGUAACGGGGCUAAACCAUGCACCGAAGCUGCGGCAGCGACACUGUGUGUUGUUGGGUAGGGGAGCGUUCUGUAAGCCUGUGAAGGUGUGUCGUGAGGCAUGCUGGAGGUAUCAGAAGUGCGAAUGCUGACAUAAGUAACGAUAAAGCGGGUGAAAAGCCCGCUCGCCGGAAGACCAAGGGUUCCUGUCCAACGUUAAUCGGGGCAGGGUGAGUCGACCCCUAAGGCGAGGCCGAAAGGCGUAGUCGAUGGGAAACGGGUUAAUAUUCCCGUACUUGGUGUUACUGCGAAGGGGGGACGGAGAAGGCUAUGUUGGCCGGGCGACGGUUGUCCCGGUUUAAGCGUGUAGGUGUGUGUUCCAGGUAAAUCCGGUUCACUUUAACACUGAGGCGUGACGACGAGGCACUACGGUGCUGAAGCAACAAAUGCCCUGCUUCCAGGAAAAGCCUCUAAGCAUCAGGUAACAUCAAAUCGUACCCCAAACCGACACAGGUGGUCAGGUAGAGAAUACCAAGGCGCUUGAGAGAACUCGGGUGAAGGAACUAGGCAAAAUGGUGCCGUAACUUCGGGAGAAGGCACGCUGACACGUAGGUGAAGUGAUUUACUCAUGGAGCUGAAGUCAGUCGAAGAUACCAGCUGGCUGCAACUGUUUAUUAAAAACACAGCACUGUGCAAACACGAAAGUGGACGUAUACGGUGUGACGCCUGCCCGGUGCCGGAAGGUUAAUUGAUGGGGUCAGCGCAAGCGAAGCUCCUGAUCGAAGCCCCGGUAAACGGCGGCCGUAACUAUAACGGUCCUAAGGUAGCGAAAUUCCUUGUCGGGUAAGUUCCGACCUGCACGAAUGGCGUAAUGAUGGCCAGGCUGUCUCCACCCGAGACUCAGUGAAAUUGAACUCGCUGUGAAGAUGCAGUGUACCCGCGGCAAG
rnacentral:rRNA from 1 species